rnacentral:rRNA from 1 species
CGCUCGUAGUCUGAUGUAAUGGGGACGGUUGUGGGGAGCAGCAAUGCUCUGUGCAGCGGUCUCCAUCAGCGGGACAGCAAUGUCCCAGUUUACUUUGAGGAAAUUAGAGUGUUCAAAGCAGGCNAUUGCUUGAAUACUGCAGCAUGGAAUAAUGGAAUAGGACUCGCGUCUUAUUUUGUUGGUUUGGAGAUGUGAGUAAUGAUAAAUAGGGGCAGUUGGGGGCAUUGGUAUUCAGUAGUCAGAGGUGAAAUUCUUGGAUUUACUGAAGACUAACUAGUGCAAAAGCAUUUGCCAAGGAUGUUUUCAUUGAUCAAGAACGAAAGUUAGGGGAUCGAAGACNACUAGAUACCGUCGUAGUCUUAACCAUAAACGAUGCCGACUAGGGAUCGGCGGANGACGUUUAGCGUCNCCGCCGGGACCUUGCGAGAAAUCAAAGUUUUUGGGUUCUGGGGGGAGUAUGGUCGCAAGGCUGAAACUUAAAGGAAUUGACGGAAGGGCACCACCAGGAGUGGAGCCUGCGGCUUAAUUUGAAUCAACACGGGAAAACUCACCAGGUCCGGACAUGGUAAGGAUUGACAGAAUGAGAGGUGGUGCAUGGCCGUUCUUAGUUGGUGGAGUGAUUUGUCUGGUUAAUUCCGAUAACGAACGAGACCUCUACCUGUCAUACUACAGCAGUCGAUGUGGAUCGGUUGGUGUUCUAUGAGGGACUGACUGGGGUUACCAGUAGGAAGUUUGAGGCAAUAACAGGUCUGUGAUGCCCUUAGAUGUUCUGGGCUGCACGCGCGCUAC